ACCUAAGUGGCUCAGAGGGUAAAGCAUCUGCCCACAAUGCUGGAGACCUGGGUUCGAUCCCUGGUUUGGGAA
rnacentral:tRNA from 1 species